GUGCUCGCUUCGGCAGCACAUAUACUAAAAUUGGAACGAUACAGAGAAGAUGAGCAUGGCCCCUGCGCAAGGAUGAAAAUUGUGGAUGUGUAACCGACGUGAUUCUG
rnacentral:snRNA from 1 species